rnacentral:rRNA from 1 species
ACACGUAGGGGCCUGACGUUGUUCGGAAUCAUUGGGCGUAAAGGGCGCGCAGGCGGCCGUCCAAGUCCGGUGUUAAAUGGUCGGGCUCAACCCGAUCAUGCGCUGGAAACUGGGCGGCUUGAGUCCCGUAGGGGAUGCCGGAAUUCCAGGUGUAGGGGUGAAAUCUGUAGGUAUCUGGAAGAACACCGAUGGCGAAGGCAGGCAUCUGGCCGGAGACUGACGCUGAGGCGCGAAGGCGCGGGGAGCGAACAGGUUUAGAUACCCUGGUAGUCCGCGCAGUAAACGAUGCGCACCAGGUGUCGGGCGGCAGCGCCCGGUACCGGAGCUAACGCGAUGAGUGCGCCGCCUGGGGAGUAUGCCCGCAAGGGUGAAACUCAAAGGAAUUGACGGGG